AGACCCGAAACCCGGUGAUCUAGCCAUGGGCAGGUUGAAGGUUGGGUAACACUAACUGGAGGACCGAACCGACUAAUGUUGAAAAAUUAGCGGAUGACCUGUGGCUGGGGGUGAAAGGCCAAUCAAACCGGGAGAUAGCUGGUUCUCCCCGAAAGCUAUUUAGGUAGCGCCUCGUGAAUUCAUCUCCGGGGGUAGAGCACUGUUUCGGCUAGGGGGCCAUCCCGGCUUACCAACCCGAUGCAAACUGCGAAUACCGGAGAAUGUUAUCACGGGAGACACACGGCGGGUGCUAACGUCCGUCGUGAAGAGGGAAACAACCCAGACCGCCAGCUAAGGUCCCAAAGUCAUGGUUAAGUGGGAAACGAUGUGGGAAGGCCCAGACAGCCAGGAUGUUGGCUUAGAAGCAGCCAUCAUUUAAAGAAAGCGUAAUAGCUCACUGGUCGAGUCGGCCUGCGCGGAAGAUGUAACGGGGCUAAACCAUGCACCGAAGCUGCGGCAGCGAACGUAUCACCCAAGACAACUUUACGGAGUUAACGAUUGACGGAGCGAAGCGACGU
rnacentral:rRNA from 1 species